rnacentral:rRNA from 1 species
AGGACGAACGCUGGCGGCGUGCUUAACACAUGCAAGUCGAGCGGUAAGGCCUUUCGGGGUACACGAGCGGCGAACGGGUGAGUAACACGUGGGUGAUCUGCCCUGCACUCUGGGAUAAGCCUGGGAAACUGGGUCUAAUACCGGAUAUGACCUGCUCUCGCAUGGGGGGUGGGUGGAAAGAUUUAUCGGUGCAGGAUGGGCCCGCGGCCUAUCAGCUUGUUGGUGGGGUAAUGGCCUACCAAGGCGACGAC